AACAGAGUAGGAAAUAAAGCGUUAAGUGUUGAUGGGAUGGGAUGUUGCCCUCAAACGAAAAAUUGUCUUGGCAAUUUGCGGUUUUAUUUCUGCAUUCGCUGCA
rnacentral:ncRNA from 2 species